UCUUAUGGAUGAGCAAAGAGUGUUCUUGAGAUGGAAUCUACUUCUGGUGAAGAUGCUGUGAA
rnacentral:pre_miRNA from 1 species